rnacentral:lncRNA from 1 species
AAAAAAAAAAAAAAAAAAAAAGACAAAAAAAAAGUGCUAGAGAACCAGAUUUAAAGCAGAAGCAGUCCGGAAAUCACAUGCAAAACUGCUCCCAGGGAGAAACGCAAGCCCAGGCACAGAGCCCCGCUUGAUGGCAGGUGCUGGACAAUAACAAUGCUGGGAUCCCCGCCUCUGCUGCCACUUUCCUCACCAGCAUGGAUCCUGCCCUCUCCUUUGUGUCACUCACUAAAGGCUCAAAGUCUGGUUCAAGGUAGAAACAAUUUUACGUGUCUCAGAAAGAACAAAGAGUUUAAGAUGGUGAUGCUGAGAUUCUGGACAAGAUGGACAUGGUGAUCUCUACUGGAAUCCGGGGACUGCUGUACUACGGUCAUAUACUACUGCUGGGGGCCUGGUGUUCCCGGGGUGCACUGGGGGCCUUGCUGUACUGAUAUGGUCAUAUGCUACUGGGGGCCUGCUGUUGCUGAGGUACAUUGUCAGCAGGCCUAGGCAUCGAAAAUGACACAACUGUCUCCUGUUCAGAAGCACUUAGAAUCUCCUGCAUCGUGUAACAAGUGUUUAGAGAUCCCUAGAUCAGGGACUCUGGGGACAGUUUUUAAUUUACUGAUAAGUAAAGUUUUAAAAUGUGA